rnacentral:tRNA from 1 species
AUCAGUGUGGUGUAGUGGUUUGAAUAUUGGACUGUGACUCCAGAGACCAGGGUUUGAAUCUCAGCUUGGCCA